AAACUAAGCUAUGCGGUUGCGUCCGGCUUUUUUUAUUAUAAAAGGUAAAAUAAAUCGGAUGAGGAAAGUCCGUGCACCGUUUGCAAUUUUCUUCACGAAUUUGCAUAAAAUAAGUAGUAGCUAACGGCUACCGAGGGCGACCUUAGAAAGAGUGCAACAGAAAAUUACCGCCGAAUGUAACAAUUCGGUAAGGGUGAAAACGUGAGGUAAGGGCUCACGACGCACAAUUAAUACCUGUGCGGGUGUAAACUUUACUUGGUGCAAGUCAUUAAAUUGACGCUGUAAUUGGCUUGGCGACAGGUCUCUAAGAUAAAUUUCCGCACGCAAGUCAGUGUGUGAGAAAAUUUCUUGCACAUCUUGCCGACAGAACACGGCUUAUCGGCUUAGUUUAGUU
rnacentral:RNase_P_RNA from 1 species